GAGCACGUAGGUUGGGUUUGUAAGUCAGAUGUGAAAGCCUUCUGUUCAACGGAAGAAUUGCAUCUGAAACUACAAACCUUGAGUAUAGGAGGGGAGAAUGGAACUUCUGGUGGAGCGGUGAAAUGCGUAGAUAUCAGAAGGAACGCCGGCGGCGAAAGCGAUUCUCUGGCCUAUUACUGACACUCAGUGUGCGAAAGCUAGGGGAGCAAACGGGAUUAGAUACCCCGGUAGUCCUAGCCGUAAACGAUGGGCACUAAGUAGAGGGGUUUU
rnacentral:rRNA from 1 species